ACGGGAGGCAGCAGUGGGGAAUAUUGCACAAUGGGCGCAAGCCUGAUGCAGCCAUGCCGCGUGUAUGAAAAAGGCCUUCGGGUUGUAAAGUACUUUCAGUCGUGAGGAAGGUGUUAAGGUUAAUAACCUUAGCAAUUGACGUUAGCGACGAAGAAGCACCGGCUAACUCCGUGCCAGCAGCCGCGGUAAUACGGAGGGUGCGAGCGUUAAUCGGAAUUACUGGGCGUAAAGGGCACGCAGGCGGUUAAUUAAGUUGGAUGUGAAAUCCCCGGGCUUAACCUGGGAAUGGCAUUCAAGACUGGUUAGCUAGAGUCUUGUAGAGGGGGUAGGAAUUCCAUGUGUAGCGGUGAAAUGCGUAGAGAUGUGGAGGAAUACCGGUGGCGAAGGCGGCCCCUGGACAAAGACUGACGCUCAUGUGCGAAAGCGUGGGGAGCAAACAGGGAUUAGAUACC
rnacentral:rRNA from 1 species